rnacentral:rRNA from 1 species
AUGUCCCGGUCUCUAUGUGUACAUGAAUUGAUUUCUGGAACUUCCUUGGUGAUGGUGACAACGCCUACUCAGAGGACGAAGCGACACCCAGGCACCAUCUUUUGGUUCCCAAUAACGAAUGUUUAUAGCAGCAAUGAUAUGUAUGAAGAUUAUCUCCAUACAUAUUUUCAGGCCACACAAGUCACCGGCUCUAGUUAUUUUUGGCACCAUGUAAACAAGAAUGUACACUUGCCAAAAAAUAUAAUAGUAUGCAACAUUUUUGGUAGUUCAGAUGGGUGGUUGUUGUACAGUUCAUGUGCAUGCUUGCGAUGA